CGAAAAAUCAACGGCGGCGAUGCGGCGGUGGCUUCCCGGCAGCGGACGGACGGUGGCCGGCUGCGGUGGCUCCGGCGAACGUCCGUCGAAGACGGUGGUGCAUGGACAACACGCGUGUCGGCCCCGGCAUGCUGCGGUGGCGAGUGAGAUUCACGCGCGGAUCUUCGAGUGGCGCGUGACGGUGCGUCUGGGCUUCUCGUUGGCUGAGGUUCUACCACCGGAUUCGUCUCGACGUCAGGAACGCAGUGAUGUCCUUAAAAUCGCGAGAAACCAAACUGUUUGAAAGAUAUUAUCGAUUUAUCAACGGAAAAACAUAACCCAAAGCCAUGGCAGUUUUGUGUGGUUACCUUCAGCUGUUAACGGUGGUGAGAUGUCCGAUCUCGGCGUAUACGACGGUGGCUGGGGCUGGCCGAUCUCAGAUCUACUCGACGGCUCAAUCUCGGGAAAAAGGCUAAUUCAUGCUUGCACCAAUAGUUUUUGGAAGAUUCAUACCUAUACUUUAUCAGCGUGCUAAAACAAACCUAUACUCCUAAACAAUUUGAAAUACGUACCUGAAGAACAGAGUCAAUGGUUAAUUCAUGCUUUGACUAAACGGUGUCUAAAUCCCCAUUAACGGAUCUGAGUCAACUGCAGAGUCAUUACCGUUCUGUCCAAAAAUUGAAAUUGGUCAUGUUAAAAAAAAGGGUCCGACUUCGUUCUUUCUUUUUCUGCAAAUUCUCUUCUUCUUCGUUUCGACUAUUCUUCCUCUUAGUUCAUCUCUUCUCUCUGGUCUCUACAAAAUCAAGUGCUUGGUUUGUGGUGAAACAUAAGAUUGGGUCCUUCAUUUCCAAUCAAAACAUGAGUGACAUAGAUGAGGCAAUGAAUAAAGAUCAUAGUCAUGGUGGUCAAAAUGAUGGUGUUGUAUACGGUGCUGGUGAUACAGACGGAGGUCAGAAUGAGCUAGUGUGAAGGAGGUCUGAGUGAUGGUGAGAAUGAGUGCAAAGAAGAUGGAAGAGUGGAAGCAGUGGUGGGUGUGUUUGGUGAUGAUGAAGAGAAUAAAAAUUAUAGGGAUACACCACCAUGUUCUGACUCUGAAGAAGAUCAACAACCAAUGCCUUAUGAUAGGUGGAAGAGAGGCAAGUCCUUGAGAGUGUGAAAGAGUUCAGAGAAACGGUAUUAGAGUAUGCUUUGAAAGGCGGGUGGAAUAUCCAGCUCACUAGAUGGGAAGGAGUGAAAUUUGAGGCAAAGUGUGGAGUUGAAGUAGAUGAAGGUGAAAUCCUAUGAAGAAUUUUUUUGCUGGUUUCUAAUAGCUUUAUUGCUUGGCAUUAGGGAUUACUUAUAGCCGUUGAUGAAGUGUUACCCCCUGUAGAUUACCGAUUGUGUGCUAGGCAUAUCUAGGGGAACUUGAGGAAGCUGUAUCCCAACAAACCUGAAAUGAAGAAGCUGUUUUGGAGUGUGGUAGAGAGCCAUAAUGAAGCUGAUUAUGAAGCAAAUUUGAAAGCUUUGAAGUUGUAUGAUGUUGACGUGUACGAAGCUUUGAUGUUUAGAAGACCAGAAACUUGUACUAAUGUAUUGCUUUUGUGUUAUUUCCUUGUUUCUUAAAACAUCUAUGUUUUGCUGCUGAAGUAGUUAUGUUUUGUUCCUUUACGUACUCGUUGGUGUUCUUUGAUACUCUUAGUAUGUUAUCUGAAAAGGUUUCGGUUAUUCUUACUUUUAUAUGAUUCUUUUUGCUUUUUUUUUUUGGUAGAACAUGAUUCUUUAUGCUUUUAAACUCAUCAAAGUGACCUAUAUAAAUCAACAAAGAAGAUAAUUGCAGAGAAAAAGAAAAGAAUUGCAGAGAAAAAUAGAAAUUGCAGAGAAAAAGAAAAGAAGUGCAGAGAAAAAGAAGAGAAUUGCAGAGACCAGAGAGAAGAGAUGAAGUAAGAAGAAAAGAAGAAGAUAAUUGCAGGAAAAAAGAUAAUGACGAAGCCCUUUUUCAAAAAUAAAAGAAAAGAGAGAACGACGUCAGAUUUUUUUAACAGGUCCGUUUCAAUUUUUGGACAGAACGAUGAUGACUCAGAUCCGUUAACGGAGAGUUAGACAUCGUUUAGGUCAAAGCAUGAAUUAGCCAUUGACAUUGUUCUUCAGGUACGUAUUUCAAAUUGCUUAGGAAUGAAGGCUUGUUUUAGCACGAUAAUAAAGUAUAGGUAUGAAUCUUCCAAGAACUAUUGGUGCAGGCAUGAAUUAACCGUUUUUCCGUUCAAUCUCUGCAGAGUUUCGACACUUUAGACUUUUCUAAAUAAACUAUUAAGCCUACCACUGUUUAAAUAGAAAAUUAUCUAGGGUUUUCUGCGAUGGGCAUGUGUCUUGCUGGGUCAAAUUAAUCGGACCGAAUAAUGGGUCGUUACAUUUUUAGAAAGCUUAGGAUUGAGAAGCUCGAACUGACGAAGUUCACAUGAUAUAAUAUACCUUUUCAUAGUAGGAGAUCCACAUCAAGGAAUUAAUGUGAGAUGUGUUCAAUGAUAAGUCGUGGUAGGAGUGGAGAGCUAUAGUAAAUGCUUGCGUUAAUACGACACUUGGACUCAGCCUGAGUCCGAUACGGCUCAAGAAUUUCUUUCGCCGGUGAGCUAAACAGACGAAGAACAGCGACGAUGCUAAGUGUUGAUGAGAGUGGCGGAAUCUGUAGUGUAGAUUAUCUAAAGACAUAUGGCCAUUUUUGGUUUCAAUAGAAACCCAUACAAAUUAAAUCGACAGCUAAAUUUGGAGCCAAGGAAAGUGACGACCAGAAAUAGAAUUAGCUUUUAAUUUUUCAGAUACCACAUGUCCUCUUUUGCCCCUAUGUAAAGAAAAAACUCAACUUUAUAGUAUAGAUGUUUUAUCAUGUAAGAUGUUAUGCAUAAAUCAUAAAGACUAGUACAAUUAAUUUCUGUAAAAAUUAUCAUUAAAAAUAUAAUUUUGUUUUUUGAUGA